UACGUAGGGGGCAAGCGUUGUCCGGAAUCAUUGGGCGUAAAGCGCGCGUAGGCGGCCCGGUAAGUCCGUUGUGAAAGUCAAAGGCUCAACCUUUGAACGCCGAUGGAUACUGCCGGGCUAGAGUCCGGAAGAGGCGAGUGGAAUUCCUGGUGUAGCGGUGGAAUGCGCAGAUAUCAGGAGGAACACCUAUUGCGAAGGCAGCUCGCUGGGACGUAACUGACGCUGAGACGCGAAAGCGUGGGGAGCAAACAGG
rnacentral:rRNA from 1 species